GGCAAAAAGGAUGCGAGUGUUGCAUUCAAGUGGGGUAAAAAAGUUUGACCAUUCCCAUCUUCAGUCUGCAAGAAAUGAGGAGCAUCAACAUCCAAGGAGCCUUGAUUGUAUCAAUUUUGGCAUCUACAAAGUAUAUUGGACAUGAAAGUUGAUGCACUUGCUGCUUGACCUAUGGAUAGUUUGCAGGUGAGUUAUUUGAAUACUUGGGCACAAUCAUAUGAUUUUAAA